rfam:TPA: Bos taurus chromosome 17, whole genome shotgun sequence.
UCCUUGGUGGUCUAGUGGUGGGACUCUGUGCUCCUAAUGCAGGGAGCCUGGGUUCAAUCCCUGGUCAGGGAA